rnacentral:rRNA from 1 species
UUUCGGAUCGUAUACUCUGUUGUUAGGGACGAACAUGUGCAUAGUACUGAUGGCGCUUGACGGUACUAAACAGAAAGCCACGGCUAACUACGUGCCAACAGCCGCGGUAAUACGUAUGUGGCCAGCGUUGUCCGGAAUUAUUGGGCGUAAAGCGCUCGCAGGCGGCUCUUUAAGUCUGAUGUGAAAUCUUACGGGCUCAACCUGUAAACGUGCAUUGGAAACUGGGGAACUUGAGUGCAGAAGAGGAGAGUGGAAUUCCACGUGUAGCGGUGAAAUGCGUAGAGCAUGUGGAGUGAACACCAGUGGCGAAGGCGACUCUCUGGUCUUGUAACUGACGCUGAGGAGCGAAAGCGUGGGGAGCGAACAGGAUUAGAUACCCUGGUAGUCCACGCCGUAAACGAUGAGUUGCUAGGUGUCAGGGGGUAACCGACCCUUAGUGCUGAAGUUAACGCAUUACGCACUCCGACUGGGGAGUACGGCCGCCAAUGCUGAACACUCCAACAGAUUGACGGGGCCCGCACACGCGGUGGAGCCAUGUGGUUAAUCCGAAGGACCGGAAAAACCUACAGGUCUUGACAUCU